rnacentral:ribozyme from 1 species
UUUUUUUUUUUUUUUUUUUUUUUUUUUUUUUUUUUUUUUUUUUUUUUUUUUUAAAUCUCAUCAUUCCGUCCUUUUUUCUA